rnacentral:rRNA from 1 species
GAUGAACGCUAGCGAUAGGCUUAACACAUGCAAGUCGAGGGGCAGCAUUAUCUUAGCUUGCUAAGAUAGAUGGCGACCGGCGCACGGGUGCGUAACGCGUAUGCAACCUGCCUGUAAUUAGGGAAUAACCCGGUGAAAGUCGGACUAAUACCCUAUAUUCUUCUUUCUCCGCAUGGGGAUAGACGGAAAGAUUUAUUGAUUACAGAUGGGCAUGCGUCCCAUUAGCUGGUUGGUAAGGUAACGGCUUACCAAGGCAACGAUGGGUAGGGGGACUGAGAGGUUGACCCCCCACACUGGUACUGAGACACGGACCAGACUCCUACGGGAGGCAGCAGUGAGGAAUAUUGGUCAAUGGGCGAGAGCCUGAACCAGCCAAGUCGCGUGAAGGACGACGGUUCUAUGGAUUGUAAACUUCUUUUGUAGAGGAAUAAACGGCAAGGCUAA